AGAGUUUGAUUCUGGCUCAGGAUGAACGCUGGCGGCGUGCUUAACACAUGCAAGUCGAACGGAGCUUAGAAGGAAGCUUGCUUUCAUUUAAGCUUAGUGGCGGACGGGUGAGUAACGCGUGAGCAACCUGCCCUCGAGUGGGGAAUAACAUCGAGAAAUCGGUGCUAAUACCGCAUAAAGUCGAGAGACCGCAUGAUCUUUCGACCAAAGGAUUUAUUCGCUUGAGGAUGGGCUCGCGUCCGAUUAGCUAGUUGGUGAGGUAACGGCCCACCAAGGCAACGAUCGGUAGCCGAACUGAGAGGUUGAUCGGCCACAUUGGGACUGAGACACGGCCCAGACUCCUACGGGAGGCAGCAGUGGGGAAUAUUGGGCAAUGGGCGAAAGCCCUGACCCAGCAACGCCGCGUGAAGGGUGAAGGUCUUCGGAUUGUAAACUUCUUUGAUUGGGGAAGAAUAAAUGACCUACCCAAAGAACAAGCCACGGCUAACUACGUGCCAGCAGCGGC
rnacentral:rRNA from 1 species